rfam:Glycine max cultivar Williams 82 chromosome 1, whole genome shotgun sequence.
UGUAAAGUUUUACAAUCCGAUAAAAUUGGCAACGAUAUCGAGAAUAUUAGCAUGGUCUUUGGGCAAGGAUAACAGACACAACUUUAAUUUGUAAAGCGUUUAA